rnacentral:rRNA from 1 species
AUUGAACGCUGGCGGCAGGCCUAACACAUGCAAGUCGAGCGGAUGAAGGGAGCUUGCUCCUGGAUUCAGCGGCGGACGGGUGAGUAAUGCCUAGGAAUCUGCCUGGUAGUGGGGGAUAACGUCCGGAAACGGGCGCUAAUACCGCAUACGUCCUGAGGGAGAAAGUGGGGGAUCUUCGGACCUCACGCUAUCAGAUGAGCCUAGGUCGGAUUAGCUAGUUGGUGGGGUAAAGGCCUACCAAGGCGACGAUCCGUAACUGGUCUGAGAGGAUGAUCAGUCACACUGGAACUGAGACACGGUCCAGACUCCUACGGGAGGCAGCAGUGGGGAAUAUUGGACAAUGGGCGAAAGCCUGAUCGAGCCAUGCCGCGUGUGUGAAGAAGGUCUUCGGAUUGUAAAGCACUUUAAGUUGGGAGGAAGGGCAGUAAGUUAAUACCUUGCUGUUUUGACGUUACCAACAGAAUAAGCACCGGCUAACUUCGUG